GCUCCCUGGCGGCGGUCCUGGGCCCGGCCGCAGGCGCUCGCGGUUCGGGCUGCCCCAGGCCGCAGUGCCCUCCGCCCCGGCCUGGCCGGCCCCAGCGACCCCGGCACCCCAACCCCCGCGCGCUGGCUCCUUGGCUCCUUCCGCGGCCGCGCGGUGCUCUUCGCUCCAGUCCGGCGACCCCAGCGGAAACCCGGACCCUGGUCCUGAGGUUUGUUUAUUUUAUUUGAAAGUGAGAGUUACACACAGAGAGAAGGAGAGGCAGAGAGAGAUCUUCCAUCCGCUGGUUCACUCCCCAGAUGGCCACAACAGCUGGAACUGCGCCGAUCUGAAGCCAGGAGCCAGGAGCUUCUUCCGGGUCUCCCAUGCAGGUGCAGGCACCCAAGGACUUGGGCCAUCUUCUACUGCUUUCCCAGGCUGUAGCAGAGAGCUGGAUCAGAAGUGGAGCAGCUGGGACUCGAACUAUAUGGGAUGCCGGCACUGCAGGUGGUGGCUUUACCCGCUACACCACAGCGCUGGCCCCACCCAUAUUCUUAAAUUAUACUGCCAGAGUCUGGUUUAAGUUGUACACUUUUGUUUCUCAUUCUGCCUCAUGUUUUUUUAGACAUUCAGGUGUUCAACAUUUAAGCAUGGAUCUUAACUCGUUA